GAUGAACGCUGGCGGCGUGCCUAAUACAUGCAAGUCGAGCGAACAGAUGAGGAGCUUGCUCCUCUGACGUUAGCGGCGGACGGGUGAGUAACACGUGGAUAACCUACCUAUAAGACUGGGAUAACUUCGGGAAACCGGAGCUGAUAACGGAUAAUAUGUUGAACCGCAUGGUUCAAUAGUGAAAGACGGUUUUGGUGUCACUUAUAGAUGGAUCCGCGCCGCAUUAGCUAGUUGGUAAGGUAACGGCUUACCAAGGCAACGAUGCGUAGCCGACCGGAGAGGAUGAGCAGCGACACGGGAACUGAGACACGGUCCAGACUCCUACGGGAGGAAGCAGUGGGGAAUAUUGGAAAAUGGGCGCAAGCCUGAUCCAGCAAUACCGCGUGGGUGAAGAAGGCGUUCGGAUUGUAAAGCCCUUUUGUUUGGAAAGAAAAGCAGCAGGUUAAUACCCAGCUGUUCUGACGGUACCCAAAGAAUAAGCACCGGCUAACUUCGUG
rnacentral:rRNA from 1 species